CGCUUUCAUGUCAUGCUCCGUUCCCGGUCGAUGACCGACAAUAGCGGAACGAAACAGUGACAGCCUGCCCCUCCCCUUUUUUUUUAAGCACUGCUCUCUCUUUUUCUUUCUCCGUCGUAUCACGGCCCCGUACCCCACACUUUUGUGGGGAAGCCAAGCGCCUGCACAGCCCGCCCUCGGGGCACGGCUGGCCGACUCUCGGUGCCAGUGGAUAGGUCUGGGCCGGUGCUGUGCCGAGGAGACCUGCGGGUCAUGGCCACGCUUGUAACGACUCACUACAAAUCGUGUCGACAGGUCGUCGAAUGCACGCAUCCGCCCACGUUUUAUUCCUGCUCUUGCUGCGUUGCGGCGAUGCCGAGUGUGAUCCCGUACCUGGUCUGCGCUGCCUGCAGUGGAAUCCAAGUGGGCGGAACGACGCCCAACGGUGCUGGCUGACCCGAUAUGUCCUUGAUGAGCAGCCACCGUGCAGCAGUGGAAAGUAAACAGCUGGGACUGUGCACUCAUAUAGUUUGCUGACCUGUUCGCUGUCGAGUGGGCACGUUGGAGAAUUUUUUUUUUAAUUUAGUAUUAUGGCGCCUCCCCGGGAUCACGUGUGUCUCUCUUUGGCUUCUAUUCAUGUGCUUUCAUCAGUUCUGUUCCUCCACCCCUGGCAUGCAGGUGUGCGUCUCCUGCGUACUCUUAUCUGCAGGCUCAAGACGGUGAAAAGGGAGGCGGGGGAGUGGAGGCAGGCGGCGGUCAAUGAGCAGAACACAUAUAAACACGCAGAGAGAGGAAGAGCUACCACAACUCAUAAAACUUAGCCGCCGGCUUCCGUGGCUUUCAUUUUUUUUUUUGCUUGCCUUGACCUCCUCCGCGUUCUCCCACGUCCCCAACUCACAUACCCCCCCUCCUCCCACGCACAG
rnacentral:misc_RNA from 1 species